UAGGGGGUCACAUUCUCCCCCCCCCCCCCCCCGCGCACUCUGCUUUCCCCAGCAGGUCACCUUCUCCCUCUCACACACACAGACACACACGCAUAAGUGGUGUCCCAUUCUCCCUCACAAACACUCACAAGUGCUGUCCCCUAGCGGGUCACACUCUCUCACACACACACAUAAGCAGUGUCCCCUAGGGGGUCACAUUCUCUCACACUCACACAUGUAAGCGGUGGCCCCUAGGGGGUCACAUUCACACACACACACACACACACACGCAAGUGGUGUCCCCUAGGGGGUCCCAUUCUCUUUCUCUCUCACACACACACACACACACAAGCGGUGUCCCCUAGGGGGAGGUCCCAUUCUCCCUCACAAACACGCACACACCCGAGUGCUGUCCCCUAGCGGGUCACCCACACACACGUCAGUGGUGUCCCCUGGGGGGGGGGGUCCCAUUCUCUGUCUCACCCGCGCACACCCGCAAACACACACACGCACGCACACGGACCGGCGCGGCCCUCCUCCCCCCGGCGGGUCCCCCCGCGGCCCUGCGGCGCCCGACCGGUCCCGCACAGGGUUAAAGGCACCGAGUUCCUCCUCCCGCCCGGCCUAGAGAGGCCGCGCCGCCCCGGCCCCGCCGCCCCGCCGCCCUCCCUCCCUCCCUCCCUCCCUCCCUCCCUGCCGCCGCCGCCGCCGGACACUUCCUGGGCCCGGGGGCCGCAGGGCCGCAAGGCCGCAAGGCCGGACCUCCUGCAGCUCGAGGGUCGUUGCUCCCCCGAGGGGCAAAGGGGAGCUCCUUGGAGGGGCCUCGGGAGAAAGCCCCCUCCCCGCCCCCCAGGACCGGCCGACCGUCCGUCCGUCCGUCCUCGCGCGGGGAUGGAGCAGCGGACGGCCCAACCGUGGGGGCCCGGCCCGCCGGCCCCGUGGACGGGCCUCGGGACGGCCGCUCAGGGAUCCUCGGCCACGAUGACGAGGAAGAAGACGACGAGGAGGAAGAGCGAGAGGUGGAGGGAAUAGAGGAGGAGGAAGAGGAGGCCGAGGAGAUAGCGGAAGAGGAGGAAGAGGCCGAGGACAUAGAGGAGGAGGAGGAGGAAGGUGAGGAAAUAGCGGAGGAGGAGGAGGAAGAGGCCGAGGACAUAGAGGAGGAGGAAGGUGAGGAAAUAGCGGAGGAGGAG
rnacentral:lncRNA from 1 species